rnacentral:rRNA from 1 species
AAUUUAUUUUAUUAAUAUAAUAGUUUUUAUUUGAUUUUUUAUAAAAAUAAUUUAUUUAUUUUAGGUUUUAGUAUUUAUUAAAAAUUAAUUUAUAGAUUUAUAGUUUAAUAGUAUUGUGAAAGAAAUAAUUAAAUUUUAAAAAGAAUUAAUUUAGUACCUUUUGUAUCAGGGUUGAUUAAAAUUUUUAAUUUUUUUUUAAAUUCUCAAAAUUUAUAGAGUUAAUUUUAUUAUUAAAUUAUUGUGUUAUAAAUAUUUAUAAAAUAAUAUUAGUUUUGAAAUUUAAUUCGUUAUAUUAUAUUUAGUUAUUUAAGAUUUAAAUUUAAUUUAAAAUUUUAAAAGUUAUUUUAAUUUUGUUAAUUAAUAUUUUAAAUUUAAAUUAUUUUAGGGAUAAGCUUGAAAUUUUUAUAUAAUAAUUUAUUUAUGUUAAUAAUUUAUAGGAAUAGAAAUUUUUAUUUAAGUUUGUAAAAAUUUAUUAUUUAUUUAUUUUUAAUUUAUUAUAAAUUAUUUAUUAUUAAUAUUAAAUUUUAUUAAUGAAUAUUUAAUUAAUAGUAAUAAUGAUUAAAUUAGUAUAAUUUAAAUUUAUAAAUUAUGAAUUCGGCAAAAAUUAUUUUCAUCUGUUUAACAAAAACAUUGUAUUAAGUUUAAUUUAAUAUAGGAUCUGCUCAAUGAUUUAUUAAAUAGCUGCAGUAUUUUGACUGUGCAAAGGUAGCAUAAUAAUUAGUCUUUUAAUUGAGGACUUGUAUGAAAGAUUUGAUGAGAAAUAAACUUUAUUAUUUAUAUAAUUAAAAUUUUAUUUUUAAGUAAAAAAGCUUAAAUUAUUUAAAGGGACGAUAAGACCCUAUAAAACUUUAUAAAUUUUAAUUUUAAUUUUUUUGGUUUAUAAAUAUUUUAUUUUUAAAAUUUAUUUUAUUGGGGUGAUAAAAAAAAUUAAUAAACUUUUUUUAAAAUUUAACAUUAUUUAAUGAAUUUUUGAAUUAAAAUUUUUAAUUAAAGGAAAAAGUUACUUUAGGGAUAACAGCGUAAUUAAUUUUUUAAGUUCAAAUUUAAAAAUUAGUUUGCGACCUCGAUGUUGAAUUAAGAUUAAUCUUAGGUGCAAAAUUUUAAGUAUUAGGUCUGUUCGACCUUUAAAUUCUUACAUGAUUUGAGUUCAAACCGGUGUAAGCCAGGUUGGUUUCUAUCUUUUAAAAAUUAAUUUAUUUUAGUACGAAAGGAUUAAAUAAUUAAAUUAAAUUUUUAUUAAAUGAAUAAAAAUAAUUUA